ACUCUGGAGGACAUUAUGCCAAGUGAAAUAGGCCAGACUCAAAGAUAAAUUCUGUAUGAUCUCACUUGUGGAGUUUUGCUGUUGUUUUUUUUUUUUUUUUUUUUUUUUUGAGACAGAGUCUUGCUCUGUUGCCCAGGCUGGAGUGCAGUGGCGCGAUCUCGGCUCACUGCAACCUCUGCCUCCCAGGUUCAAACGAUUCUCCUGCCUCAACCUCCCAAGUAGCUGGGACUACAGGUGCAUGCCACCAUGCCCAGCUAAUUUUUGUACUUUUUAGUAGAGACAGGGUUUCACCAUGUUGGCCAGGAUGGUCUUGAUCUCUUGACCUCGGGAUCCACCCGCCUUGGCCUCCCAAAGUGCUGGGAUUACAGGUGUGAGCCACUGCGCCCGGCUGUCACUUGUGGAAUUUAAAGUCACUGAACUCACAGAAGCAGAGAGUAGAAUUGGGGUUGCCAGGGGCUGUGGGAAAUAGGGAAAUGUUGGUCAAAAGGGCAUAAUCAGUAAUAAGAUGUAUAAAUUCUGAGGACAUAACGUGCAGGAUGGUGACUAUAGUUAAUAACACUGUAUUGUAUACUUGAAAUUUGCUAGGAGAGUAGAUCUUAAGUGUUCUCACUGCAUUUGCAGUGAUGGAUGUGUUAAUUAGCUCAGUUGUGGUGGUCAUUUCACGGUGUAUACAUAUACCAAAUCAUGAUGUUGCACACCUUAAAUACAUACAAAUUUUAUUUGACAACUAUCCCUCAAUAAAGCUAGAAAACAGAUGAUUGAUUAGAUGAUAGAUAGAUAGAUAGAUAGAUAGAUAGAUAGACAGACAGACAGAUGAAUGGACAGACAGACAGACAGUUUUCCUUCUUUAAAGGUUAUCUCUGUAACCGUCUGGCUCUGGAAUCCUUUUGAAUGAUAACUCUUUACCUUUCCAGUAUCUUCUACAGUAAUUGGUAUAGUCAAGGUUUCUACUUCUGGGAUCAAUUUUGAUCAUUUAUAUUUUGCUGAAAAAUCAUCCUUUUCUGCUGGUUUUCAAACCUCUUACCAUGAGUUUGUUUAUACAAGUCUCAAAAUGAUUUUAACUUAUCUUCUAUUUAUUGGUUUGCCAUUUAUUUUCUUUGUCUUUAGUUUGUACUCUUUUGCUAUCUUAUUUUCCCUUAAGUGGGCUUUCAACAGAUUUAUAUAUUUUACUGGUCUUUCCAAAGAAACAGCUUUCGGAUUUAUUUAUCCAUUAUUCUAUCCCUUUAAUUUCAGCUUUUAUCUUUAUUAAUUCCUUCUUCCUGUUUUUUUAGGUUUAUUUUGUUUCUCUUUAUUUCUUAAGCUGAGUAAUGACUUGUCCUAUUUUUUCUUUAUUCUUUAGUAAGGAAUAGAAAAUUUCCUCUUUCACUGUGCUUAGAAGUUUUGAUAAUAAAAUAUUCUUUUUUCUUUCUUCUCUGAUAACUUUCACUUCCAAUGAAAAUGGAAGUGAUGAUGUCAAUAUUUUCUUUGGUUUUCUUUUUGAUUCCAGGGUUAUCAGUGAGUGUGUUUCAUAAUUUGCAAGUGGGUAAAAUUUUUUAAAUUGCCUUCUUGUUAUUAUUUCUAUACCCAUUGCAUCAUGAUCACAGAGUGUGACCUGUUCAAUAUCUCCAUUUUCUUUGAUCUUUUGAAGGAUUUCUUUGUGGCCAUGAUUCAGGGGAAGGAGAGGGACAGUACACGUUCCAUGGACAUUUAACUGUCUAUUUUUAUACACUGACCAUGAUCUUUGAAAACGGACACGAAACGCAUUCACUUAAGGAUUGUUCUAUAGGACACCUCACAUGAUGUGGUGAGAAAACCCAUGAGAUUUGGAAUUUUAAAAUCCUGUCUCCUCCAUGCAUAGGCCUGGAACUCAGUUACCCUGUGUGUCAAAUGUAAAUUGUACCUGCCUGCCUUACCACAUUACUAGUGAAAAUUAAAUGAGCCUGGUGGUGCCCUCCCCGAAGGCUGUGCCUCCCCAAAGUCCCAGUUAACUAUUGAAAUACUGCCCUUAAAAAGCAGCUCCUCUGCAGCCCUGGUAAGCAACAGAAAAGCCUUCAAAUGGAGACUGGGUCUUGUCAGGCACCACAGACCAUGAAGCAUUGAGAAACAAACAGACCGCUACAUGUAUGUUACACAUGCCAAGAGGAUACCAGAGAAAGGCAAUCAUCCCCUAUCAUGCAUCCUCUGAAGCAGUUAAGUGUUUUAAAUUCCUUAAAACACUGAGUGUACAGUGGGGGAGGAGAGAAAAGACUUAAAGCAAUUUUGCUGUUACACUCAGCAGUGUAAAGAAUAUUUUUGAAACUAAAGACUGAUUGAAAAGGACAUCAAAAGAGUUUGAUUUGUUUGAUGUUUAGACACAUAUACAUGAUGCGGAUCACUGUUACAUUAACGAUGACCGUCUGUACGCCAGAUGGACUGCACAACUAUGUCAAGAGACAUCUGACACAGUGUGCCAUUUGAAAAGCAGAUUAAGGUAAAACCAUCCUAACACAAAUGAUUCCCCCAUCUCAUGUUUAAGGGUGCAACAAGCUAUUGUGAGUUAAAAUAAUUCAGAAAAUUGCAAUUAACUUUUAAGACCUUUCCUGCCUCAGUAAAUGCCACUGCGUAAGGAUCAGAAGUGGUGACAUUAUGCCCGAUCAAUUUCAAUGACUAGGCCAGACUCUUACGGAACAGGAGGUGGUAAACAGCCCUGAUAUUGAGAGGUACAAAGUCAGAUAUAACCUAGCAGCUGGCCUGUAGACUUACAUAAUCAUUUUACACUUGACAUUUCUAUAACAGCUCUUAUUCUGAGCACCUUGACUGGCAAAAAGAAGAAAGCCAAGAUAUGUGCUACUCCAUUCUCCCAGAACCUUCUUUUAAGGUUUUGGUCCCAUUAAAAAAAAAAAAAAAUCACACAUUUUUCUUCUGUUAGUUUUAUUCAUAAGAAAUAUAAAUAGAGCUGGGUGCAGUGGUUCACAUUUGUAAGCUCAGCGCUUUGGGAGGCUGAGGCAGGAGAAUCCCUUGAGGCCAGGAGUUUGAGACCAGCCUGGAAAACAUAGUGAGACCCUGUCUCUAUAAAAAAAUUUAAAAAUUAGCCAGGUGUGGGUUUGCAUGCCUGUAAUCCUAGCUACUGGGUCACUUGAGCCCAAUAGUUCAAGGCUACAGGGAGCUAUGACUUCAUUUCACUCUAGCCUGGGCAACCAAGUGAGACCCUAUCAAAGGAGGGGAGGGGAGGGGAGUGGAAGGGAAGGGGGAAAAGAAGAAAAGAAAAGAAGAAAUACUAAUGGUCAAUAAAUGUGUGGGGGGAAAUUUGGCCUACUCCCCAAAAACAUUUUAAUGCUAAUUAAAACAACAGCAGAGAAAGAGUUUUACCCAUCAAAUUGGCCAAGAUGAAUAAGAAUUAUAAGAUCCAGUGUUGGGAAGAUAUAAAGAAGUUGACAGUCUCAGAUUCAGCUAUCAAGGGUGUAAAUUGGUUCUAUACUAUAUUUUAGAAGAGUGAUUUAGAAAUUGAUAUGGUUUGACUAUGUCCCCACCCAUAUCUCAUCUGGAAUUGUAAUUUGAAUUGUAAUCGUCACAUGUCAAGGGAGGGUCCAGGUGAGAGGUGAUCGGCUCAUGGGGGCAGUUUCCUCUACGCUGUUCUCAUGAUAAUGAGAGAGUUCUCACGAGAUCUGGUUGUUUGAUAAGUGUCUGGUGCUUCCCCCUUCUCUCUCUCCUGCUGCCAUGUAAGAUGUGCUUUGCUUCCUCUUCAUUCUACGCCAUGAUUGUAAGUUUCCUGAGGCUUCCUCAGCAUGCAGAACUGUGAGUCAAUUAAACCUCCUUAUAAAUUACCCAGUCAUCUUAAAAUGAUAUACAUGAAAAUAAUUCAGUAAGCAUUGUAGGGCUGGUAUAGAAAUGGGUGCCAAAAGCCUUAGGAUUUGGCAUUUGUUGGAUUCAGAUACACUUUUUUGAGGAAUCUAUCCUAAAGAAAUACAAAUGGACAUUCACAAAGCUUUUUAUGAAAGAAUGCCCAUUGCAACAUUGUUUAAAAUGAAAAACUGGAACAACAUGAAUGUUCAACAACAAGAGAUCGCUUAAAUAGAAUUAUGGUAUACACUUAUGUUGGAAAUUAUUAUGGUAUAUACUUACGUUGGUAUAUGCUUAUGUUAGGCAUUAAAAUAAUUUGAAGAAGUUUAAUCCUGAAGUCCAAAUGAUGCCAAUAUUCAAAAAGAUGUGUAUAAAAAAAAUCACUUGUGGCAAGGCGUGGUAGCUCACACUUGUAAUCUCAGUGCUUUGGGAGGCCGAGUCUAGAGGAUUGCUUGAGCCCAGGAGUUCAAGACAGCCUGAGCAACAUAGGGUGACCCCAUCUCUACAAAAAAUUUUAAAACUAGCCGGGUGUGGUGGCACAUACCUGUAGUCUCGGUUAUUCAGGAAGCUGAGAUAGGAGGAUCACUUGGGCCUAAAGGGUUGAGGCUGCAGUGAGUUGUGAUCAUGCCACUACACUUCAGCCUGGGUGAGAGAGCAAGACCUUGUCUCAAAAAGUAAAUAAAUAAAUAAAUCACUUGCAACUGAACUAUUCGGAAUAAGCACUGUUAACACUAGGAUGUAUAAUUUUAAAGUUGUUUUUCUAUAUAGAUAUAUAAUUUUUCCUCCCUUUCUAAAAUUCUGGGCUUUCCUAAUAGGUAGUUUAUUCACAUGGUUAAAAAAGUACAGAAACGGGUAUACUGUAAAGUUUCCCUUUUAGUUCUGGUCUCCAGCCACCAAGAUUCCAAGCCCUAAAACAACUAAUAUUUUCAGUUUUUUAUACGUAUUUCCAGAAGUAUUUGGUGUACAGUCAUCCCUCGGUACAUGCAGGGAAUUGGUUCCAGGACCCCUAAGUAUAUUAAAAUCCAUGUGUACUCAAGUCCCACAGUGAGCCCUGUGGAGCUCACCUAUAGGAAAAGUCGGCCCUCCAUACGUGAGGGCUUAACAUCCUGGGAAUGCUGUAUUUUUUUAUCUGCAUUUGGUUGCACAUGCAGAACGCUCAGAUGCAGUGGGCCUACUGAAGAAAAUCUGCAUAUCAGUGUAUUAUCAACAGUCAAUUCUGCUUAUGAAUCUCCUUAUAUGUAUUCCACAUCCUCCUCCAUAUUUUAAUAUUUUAAAACCCAAUGUAGGUACAUCUUGCUUUUUUUUUAAUUAGUCAAAGAUAAGAUAAAGAAUGCCAUCAUUUAAAAAAAUUAUUAUAUGGCAUUCCAUAGUAAGACUACACUCAAAUUAGGCUAAACACAAAAUUUACUGGCCAAAUCAAGAUACUUUUGAAAGGGAAGAGCAUGCUAUUCCUAACUACUGCAGAACAGACAUAAACAAAGACUGUCCCCGCCAAACCUGGAUGAAUGAUCAUCCUAACCAUAAAUGACCACAACUAAUUUUACCAUUUCUCUGUUGAUGGACACUUAGGUUAUUUUUAAUCACAUGCUACCACAAAAAUGCUGCAAUGAAAACCUCUUUAUGCAUGUCAUUUCACAUAAAUGGGAGUGUAUCUGUAAAUUAUAACACUUAGAAGAGAAGUUGCUUAGUCAAAGGAUAUCUGUAUUUUUAAAAUUUGAUAGGUAUUUCCAAAUUGUCCUCCCUAAAGGUUGUCACCAUUUUCAUUUUUUCUGACAUAAGCAAGUAUUGCCUUUAUAAUAAGAUAAAACAAUAAGUUACUUUUGAAAUUUAAAAAAAGUCUGAAAAAAUGUAUAUUGAGCAAGUUUAAAGCAUUCUUGAUCAUAAACACAUACAGAAACACAAGACUGGAAAUAAUUAAAGUCAAAUGUAUUUGGACAAAUAGAAGUUCAAAAACAAACAUAAACCUCACAAGAAAUAUGCACAAAUCAACAGGUUAUGCAGACGGUGAACUAACAAACACUUUGUAAAUGUAUUGCUUAUUAAUGUCACUGUGAGCAUCCCAUCCCCUUUUUAUAUCUUACACAUUCUUCUUUUUGUCCAACUAGGCAAGUUAGUUUUCAUUUGAAGUCAAUAAAUGACAACAAAUGGCUGAUAGAAACCUGCCUUUUUUCUUCUUGGAGAACAAAUAGUUCCAAAAAGGUUAUUCUUCUACUUAGAGGCAGCUAUUGUAGUACCAACUGUGGCCAUUACAGCUGAUGGACCUGAAGCCCAAAGUAUAGGGGAAUCUCCUAUAAGAUCAACAGGCUGGGAGUAUCUGCUAGAAUUGUGCGAUCUCAACAUUGCAAGAGGCAAAUAUCUACUACCACCAGAUACAUUCCUGCUUCAUGUAUUUAAGCUCCAGGAAAAAAAGACACAGCUCCUUUCACAUAUAAAAAAUAAAACCCACACUUGCCAAAAUGUGUUUUAAAAAUCUCAUAUAUUUAGGCCCUAACCUUAAACAUCUUCCUACUACUCACAAGAUGCGCCUGAUAUGAGCUUUAUAUACAAUCAUAUAAAUUUGUAUGCCAAGUAGUUACAAACUAAGUACAGAGUGUUCUCAAACAUGACAGAAGAUUUCUAUGAGCACUUUCUAAAGAAUGUCAUAUCCGCAUGAUGAAACAGUGUUUGAAAAUUAUUUCCAAAAGAAUACACCCCUGAAUGAAUCCAGUUUAAAAAAAUUCAAACUUGUAAUGGGUUUGUGAAACUAUAGCACCAUGCUGGCACAUAAUAAAUAUUUACUGAAUGAUUGCAUUUGCGGUGAGGCAGAUAUUUACCCAUUCAAACCAUACCUGAUGAAAUAAUACAGAGCUAACAGGUAAAACAGCACUUUCUCAAUCACAAUGCCUUUAAAAAUCAGCGAUGCUUUUAAAAAAAUGCUAUCUGGUCAGUGUCUUCAUACUUAACAUGGUAACAACAGCUACUAGUCAGAAUAAUUACAUUAGUCUUCUACCAAUAGAUAUUUAGAGGUUACAGGUUGUUUCCAAUCAUUUGCUACUUCAAAAUAUGCCUCAAUAAAUUGUGUGUGUGUGUGUGGGUGUGUGAUUUCACAUAAUUGGGAGUGCAUCAGUAGGAUUUAAAAAGCCAUAGAAAUGAAAUUGUGCUGAGUAUUUCACAGACAUUAUUCUUUUCAUUCUCACAACAGCCCUCCAAGAUGAAUUCAGUGGUUCCUAACUGACAGAUGAGGAAAUUAAAACCUAAAGCUCAGAGUGGUAAAAUGAUUUCUCCAAGGUCAUACGGCCAGCAAGUGGUAGAGAUGGGAUUUAAACCUACCCCCAAGUGCCCAACCUAUUUCGCUCCCUUACACAGUCUCAUAAAUGUUUUCCAGAAAGCAAAAAGCAAACAGCGUAAUAGAAUACUCGAGCCACAUUUGAAGUCUUAAUAGCUUACAUUCAACACAUUAAAACAAUGACAGGGAUGAUGGUUAAGCUGAUAGGUUUGUAGCCUGUGCUUGUCUCCCAGGGAUGAGUCUGGAUCCUAAAAUAUGAAAAGAGAUGGGCACAGUGGCUCAUGCCUGUAGUCCCAGCACUUUGGGAGACUGAGGCAGGUGGAUCACCUGAGGUCAAGAGUUUGAAACCAGCCUGGCCAACAUGGUAAAACCUCAUCUCCAUGAAAAAUACAAAAAAAUUAGCCAGGUGUGGUGGCAGUAAUCCCAGCUACUUAGGAGGCUGAGGCUGGAGAAUCACUUGAACCCGGGAGGUGGAGCUUGCAGUGAGCUGAGAUUGUGCCACUGCACUCCAGCCUGGUCGACACAGCAAGGUUCUGUCUCAAAAAAGGAGAGGGGAGGGGAGGGGAGGGGAGGGGAGGGGAGGGGAGGGGAGGGGAGGGGAGGGGAGGGGAGGGGAGGGGAUCUUCAAGGAUAUAAGUCAAAAUCAAGAUGGUCCUCUUCACACCUUCAACACAUUUUAUCUUUCUGAGACUUUUACUUGAUGACCCCUGCCAGAUCCCACCUGAUUCUGUACUUAAGCUCUGCCUGGAAUAAACCUAGUUCAACAAAACCCAUGAUAUUUCCUGCCGCCUGAGUUUGCAUUAUAGGAAAGAGUUUUGUUUGAAUAAUUUAGCACAAAUUCCCUCACAGAUGGCAUAUAAGAGAGAUUUGUCUUCCUAAUUGUAUUAUAGACGGGAGCUUAUGGCAAAGGUCCAGGACACAGAACUUUAAAAAUAGCUCUUUAAGCUAAUGACCUAAUAGCCAUUGGCUUUUAUAAUCCAGUAUCUCCCCUUGGGUCCCUUAUAAUACUUUACACAUGCAAAGUGUGUAUUACAACCUUUAUGAGGAGGACCUGACAACACGUCUCAAAAACCUUAAAAAUGUGGGUUUUCUUUGAUCUAGCAACUUUACUGCUGGGAAUUUGUCCUAAAAAAUGAUCAGGAAAAAAAGAAGGUUUAUGUGCAGUAUUGCUCAUCACAAGUUGAUUUAUAGUAGCUUAAAAAUAGCAACCACCCAAAUGCCCAGCAACAGGAAUGCAGUUAAGCAAUUUAUUGCACAUUGAUGUGGGAAAAGGGUAUACAGCCAUCAAAAUAGCAUUUGCGAAGAAUACUUAACAAUAUACGGAAGUCCUCAUGAUCAAGGUCCAGGGAAAAUGAAGGCUGGAAAAGUGAUGCACAGUGUAACCUCAACCAUGUCAUUUACAUACAUAUCAACAUACAGAGAAAUUACUAGAGGAAUGUCAACCAAAUGCUAACAGUCUCUGAGUGGACUGCUAUGCAUGAUUUUAUUUGCCCCUUUAUAUAUUUUUUAAUUUUUAUUUUUACAUAGUGAUUACAUAUCAUAGUUAAAUCUAGAAAAAGAUGGCAAUGAUUUUUUAAAAAAGAUUUUCUAAAUUGAUUGUUGAUGCUGUUGACUUUCUCAGCUAUUGGUUUUUUCCAGUGACAGCCAAGCCAAUUAGACAUGGACUAUUUUUCUCUUGCCUUCUGUUGUCUGAAAAUUCACUGCUUAUUGGCAUCACCACUGGUGCAUAGAAAGAGGAGACACGACAGUAAACUUCAAAGCCAUCGUUUUGGUAGGAGAGGCUGAUUGCCAUACAUUGGUUUGGAGAAGAUCUGAAAGUCCUACACUGGCUAACAUUACUUGGAGAUUUUCCUUAUCUACAUAACCCCUAAUGCAGAAACUGUCCCAUUCCUGUAGAUAACCAUAUCUUGGUUUGAGGAUCUAAGAACCUCUAAAUUAGGUACUUCCGUGAUGUCACUGAAUAGCAGUAGCCUUUGGGAAGUGCCUGCCUCCUCUGAACACUCGUCUGACUCCUCUUUCAGUUUCCUCAUUCCCGUUGCCUUAUGUCUAGAAAGUUCUUAACCCACCUAAGAAUUACUGACUAGGUCCUAUCUAACUGCCAAGAUACUGAAAUCAAAACACAAACACCAUGUGACAAUACUCUGGUUGUGCGAUUUCACAGACUCUAAUUACAGUUCAUUUCAGCCUGACCUUGCAUUAUUCCUUUCUGUGUUUUCUCAUCCAAGCUUAUGAGAGAAUCUGUUUCACGUUAUUUUCCUUGACCAUUACUCAUUUAAAAUUUGCUACUAAGAGCCUUGCUUUUUUCUGCCAGAAAAUCUUAUCUCAGAGGUCCUUCUUUUUAUUUACUUCACUGUCAAAUUCCACAUCACUCAAAUUCCACUCUUAAUUUUCCUUUUGGUAUUAAGAUGUCUCAUAUUUUCUUUCCUUAAGUAAAAAAAACUAGUAUUGUAAAAUAUGCAAUCUUGGACACUAAAAUGUAAUAUAAAACCAAAUCCAAUGGUAAUUCCCCUAAAUCCAAUGUAUUGCCAAUCGUCAAAUUUUGUUUCUCUGUGGUUUCUAAACCCCCGAACUGUGUGUAUCUCUAUACAACUUAUAAUAAUAAUUUGAGUGGGGCACUUGCAAGAUCAUUGUCUUGCAUCUGUGAAGAUGUUGUUAAUUGUGUUACAUUUCCAGAUGGAGCAGUGUUUAGAAAAGUUUGACAAAGCAGAAUUCAGCUCAGCAGCUAACGUUUCUUUUUCUCAUACUCAGUGCCCAUCUCAGCCUCUCCAUUUGCUCCCACCCCUAUCAACAAACCAACCAAUAAUUAUUUCUUAGAACUGCUCCUUUCAUGUUUCAUUCACGCUUAGGUAGAAAUCAUUGGAGAUUAAAAUAUCCCCAGUCUCAAAUAUAUUUCCAGUUUACUAUAAAUGAAAGGCUGCUUGCUAUAAGGCACCCCUCAAGGAAUUUCAGGCUCUGGUAAAUACCUAAUAAGAAUAAAGGUUUCUGAGGUGGCAAUGGUUUUCGACAUCCUUGACAUCAAACCCUAUAAAAGCCAUCUACUUCCCCUUCCUUUGAGGCCAGGCACCACACCACUCUGGAGACCCACUUUGAAUCUUGUCAUUACCUGCAGUGAUACUGUAGAUAAUCCAGUAUCAUAUUCCAUGGCCGAACACAUUAUCCAUCAGGCUCUUGCUCACCCUCAAAAUGCACUAGUUCUUGGACCUCACACCAAACUUUUAACCUGUUGAUCACCCAGUGGAACAUGUUGGCUCCCUUAUAAAUUCAUUGUUUCCAAAUUCAGCUGAGUCCUCACUGAGGCCAUAAUUUUAUCCCAUUCCCCUCAACAACAAAUCCAACCUCCUGCUUCUCUCUUCAUAUUCUCUCUGUGACACCCCUCCCACUUACUCUCAGACAUCCUUGCCUGCUGCUGCCCUGAGAAAGUCAAGGCCUCCAGAAACGGCACUGUCAAUACUCCAUUCCUUUUUUAUACACUCCUGUGUUCCGUCUCCUUUCCCCUGCUCCGAGGACAAAAGAAGUCUCUCCUUCCUUGUCAAAGUCAUCCCUUCCUAACUUCCAAGACUUCACACUUAUUUUCCCCUCUCUUCUCUGUCUCUGUCUUCAUCUUUUUCUCACCAGUCUUCUCCUUGUCCUAUAAACAAGACAAAAAACAUUUCUACCCUAACGAACAGUCCUCCAAGGACUGUGUGGCUCCCUGAGCCACACAUUCUCUCCUCUUCUUUCUCAGCUCUCCUGCCCACAAGAGUUGAUCAUAAUCACAGUCUUUAUUUCUCUCCUCCUGUUUGAUCCCCCUCACAAUCUGACUUCAAUUCUCACCAUCUGGUACAAAUCCUCUUACGGUCAACAAUCAUUCCUUACUUGCUAAUCCAAGGGACACUUUUCAGUUCUUGCAAUGUGCUAAAUCUCUACCUGCAUUUGACACAGUUCAUUACCUCCUAUUUCUGCACUCUCCUUCAAAUGGAUGCUAGAAUGCUCCACUUUCCACUGUUUCUCUGUUUCUUUUUCUCAGUCCUCUUCCUGAGUCCCUUUUUCUCCCCCAAUCCUUAAACGACAGUUUCUCCAAGUCACACCCCAUGGCCAAUAACUCUCAUCAGUCUAUUUUUGUUGGGCGGUGCCAUUCAUCCUUCUGUCUUUAACCUUUGCCUAAAUGUUAUUGAUUCUUGAAUCCCUCUUGUCCGCCCAGAGCUACCUACUAAACAUUUCUUUGCCACAAAAUGUUCGGAGCAGGGCCACUGUUACAGAUGGUGGAAAUUAUAAUUUCCUCCUUUCCUCAAGUGCACAGGUCCAAACCAGGAUUCAUUCUUCCUCAAAAUUAACACCUCUGCCUUAGCAUAAGCAUGCAAACCAAAAUCAAUACAGGCUAGUGUCUACUCCACUGCAACGCUAAUGCAAAACAUAUCACUGAAGGAAAAGAGGGCUGAUAGAACAAAAGCAAGGCUUAAACUUCAGAUUCAAAGGCUCCUGUUGAAACCAGAGAGUCCCUACAGCAAUUAAGUGGAAGUGAGGCCACAUGUUUUGAAAGUAUUUCUUUAACCCCUUGGAAAGCAAAGUUUUGUUAGUGCUAUAAGCAGAAUGCCUCAGGUCAGAGCUUCGCUGUAAGACUACUGGUUAAAGCACAGAAUGGCCACAGAAUUAUGCGUGCCAGGCAGGCUUACUAUUUUCAGCAGUCAAGCUGAUGCAGCAUAUCUAAUGUUUUGUGGAGGUCACAGAGUACAUUGCCAAGGAUACCGUUCUGUGUUACUGAGACACAUGGUGACACUCAUACCUAAUAUCCCACGCUGGGACCUGCUGUCCACCAACCAUUCUGCAAACAUGUGGUUCAUGCUGGGCAGACCCUCAGCUGUGUCCUCAGCAAUGAUGCUAUAAAUGGCUGUCAUUUAGUCUUAUCUAUUUACUCAUGAAAGAGAAAUUCAGUCACAAUGGCCAGAGAAAUGCAAAAUAGAUUAAAUAGCAUAGGAACUUUAAAGCAUAAAUCCUUUCCUGAUGAUGACGAGGAACAGAAUUUUAAUCAACAGGUUAUUUUUCAGUGAACUAAAGUGAAUUUGAUGCACAGCUAAUAUUGAGAAUCUGCUUUUAGUGGCAUUUUUGGAGUCCUUAUUAUGUUUCAUUAUCUUUGAAACCCACUUCAAUAUUGAAUAUGGUCCUUGACUUGACUACUUUGACAAUGCAUCUCCAGUAAUCCGAGUACAUACAAUAUAUUUACUAUAGUAUUUGGAAACCACAGGUACUAUAUAGCUAAUGUGUUCAGCCAGAUUUAAAACAGGUCCUAGAUUUCAGCUGUGCCUCAUCUCCUAAUUGACUGUUGAGGGCCGACCCUCCUAUUCUUUUACUUCGCGUUUCCAAGUAGAGGAAGCUCCCUUAGCAUAACCCCUGGGCAUUUUUCUGCCCUCUUGCUCAUGGGGUAUCUGAGUGAUGAAGGAACUGAGCAUGUUUAGCCAAGCCUCUUCCUCCAACUUCGGGCAAAAUGUGCACUUUCUCUUCCACUCCAUACUACAGGUUUUACGGGAGCUGCCCCUACAGGAGAGAACUGCAUGGUGGGCUCUUCCUGGUGGCUGAGUGGGUAAGUCUGGCUUCGUUCAGGCUAAAAGGGCAGCAGGCACCCUUGCCACAGACCGAAGUCUUCAAUUGAGCUCUUCUCAUUAAGAAAGCGAGCAUUUUGAUCUCUAACUCCUGCAUCUCUCAAGUGGGGUAACAGGUCACGCAGCAUUAUUUAUCAUGAGAAACAAAACCAAUUAUUAAACAAUAUCUAUGCUGGUUCGGGUGUAGGCAUUUACACAGUCAAUUCUUAUCAGUUUCCCUCAGUUGGUAAUUUCUAUUUAGUACAAUGUUAAGAAGCACUAAAUUGUUUUUUUUAAUUAUAUGAGACAUUUCUUGAUUACAUUCUGUGCAUAUUUUCAUUACACCAUAUGUAGAAGAUCAAGAGAAUGACAGACUAAAAACACAAAGAGAAAAAAAGAGAAGAAAAAAUGUAAUAAGACUGCCAAUGCACAAAGAUGGGCCACAUAACCUGAAUAGAGAGGUAAAUAACAUGUCUAGAAAUUUGAGAGAAAACUUUUAAAUGUUUAUCUCUGCAAUCAAUUUCAAAGUCAAGCAAUCUUUCAAUGGUUAUUUACUAUUCAUAGUAACUGCCAAUACCUCGACCUAUAGCCUCGCCUUAUUUUAUGACAAAGGAGACAAUUUACAUUUGAGUAUAUCCUCCAAUAUCCACAGACAUUUCAUCAACAUUUUGGCCUAUUUUAGCAGCAUCAUAUUUUUCUCAUUCAGUCUUUCUGAAGGAUAGCCAGAAGAAAUCAUCCAUUUUAGAGUAUUUUUCUCGCAUUAGUUUUUGAAGAAAUCUAGAUCCAAAAAUAAGUAGAACAUUAUGUCACCACUGUUUUCAAUACAUAUACUCUGUGUGCAUGUGGAUCAAACCCAUGACACACCAUUGCAAGGGAAUGCAACAGUUCUUGUGUUGUAACUCCGGUGCAUCAGGUCAGCUGUCACGUUGGCUCUCCUGAAGCUGGACCUUGAUAACUUUUUGUUUUAAAAUUAUUUUCAGAUUACACAAUUUAUUGUAAAGUGAUAGGAAAGCUUUCUUAGUGAUGAGUCUGUAAUUUCACUAUCAAUUAUGGUUGUAAAUACUGGAUCCUAUUGACCAUUUAUUCCUCAAAUGCCAUUUUACUGCCCAUUUAAGUAACCGUCAUAGCUGCUUUUUUCUUUUUUGAGAAGGAGUCUCGCUCUGUCGCCUAGGCUGAAGUGCAGUGGUGCAAUCUCGGCUCACUACAACAUCUGUCUCCUGGGUUCAAGAGAUUCUCCUGCCUCAGGCUCCUAAAUAGCUGGGAUUACAGGUGGGUUUCACCAUGCCUGGCUAAUUUUUGUAUUUUUAGUAGAGCCGGGGUUUCACUAUGUGGGCCAAGCUGGUCUCGAACUCCUGACCUCGUGGUCCGCCUGUCUUGGCAUCCCAGAGUGCUGGGAUUACAGGCAUGAGCCACCACGCCCGGCCUAUAGCUGCCAAUUUUAAGGACAUUACCUGGGAGGUGAAAUGAACUUAUCAUCUUUUCUGAUGCCACUUAAGCACAAGAUUUCUAAAAAAAGAGCUAUUUAUUACUACCAAACAAGUGUAGCAAUACUUCCAAAGAUAAACACAAAAAGACCUGGAUUCUAAUCAUGCCUUUCUGUGCACUUAUUGGUAAUACUGGGCAAACUACAUAAUCUGUCUAAGCCCCAGGUUCCUCAUCUAUAAAAUGCAGUAACACUUACCUACCAGGUUUUCCUAGGGAAUAAAGGAGAUAAUUCAAGUAUAGCACCUAACUCAGUACCUAACCCUAAGUAGGUAGUUAAAAGUAUGGGCUCUGGAAUUUAAUUCUGCCUCAGUCAUAUAUUACUACUAUUGCUGCUACUAUUGACCUUGUCAUGAUUAUUUUUGCAUAAAUACUUUACUUAUUUGGCUGAGAGCAAGUCAAAAGUUAAAAAAAGUUUUGCUGACGUGCUUAUAAAGCCAACAAAAACACUUACUGAAUAUCUCAAACAUGCCAGGCAUUGUUCUGAGGGCUUUAAAUGUAUUAUCUCAUUAAUCUUAAAAACACUUUCAUUUUAAUAUUAUCCCAUGUACAGCAUAAUAUAUGAGGAAACCAAGGCACAGAGAGGUAGAGUAACUUCAGCAUGUAUGCACAGCAAGUGACGAGACAGGGUUCAAAUCCAAGCAGGUCCCCCCCUUAACCUCAGCAUCCUUUAUUCUGCCUUCUUAUGCAGACCCAUCAGUUUUGUACUGUGCUAUGACACACCACUGGGCAGAGCCCUUGCUAGUUCUCAGAACUUGGUGAAAGGAAGAACAGCUUUAAGAAUAGAGGAGUUUGAGCAGGUAGGUUUUGCAAGUAUUCUGAUGGGCACUUAUAAGAGCACUGCUGAUUGGGAUCAAAGAAUUAUAGGAUUGACAAUGAUUCAGUCCUCAUGAUGAAGCUGCCCAGUCUAGGCUUGAAAGACUUCAGUAACAAGGAAGUGGUCAAUUUCUGAUGCAUUUCAGCCCAUCUUCGGAUAACUCUGUAUGUGAUAGAAAACUCUUCUUUUUUUAAGUUUAUUCCCAGCUUUAAUGGGGUAUAAUUAACAAAUAAAAAUUGUAUAAAGUGUAUGAUGAGAUGUUUAUCAAAACAUCACAUUCUACAUUUUAAAUUUAUACAAUUUUUGUAUAAUGAUUUUGUGUAGAAUGAUUAGCAUAUCACUUCACAUAGUUAUCAUAGAAAACUCAUUCUUACAUUGUAUCAACAUGUUGAUGCUCCUAGUGACUUCUCCUCAUUGGUUCUAAGUAUACUUCCAGGAAACUGCCUACAUCAUGCUGAGGCUCUCUUUCACCCAACUGUCCUUCAGUAUUCUGAUAUUUCAUCAUGUCUCCCCCAGGCCUAUCUCUUCCCCACAUUCAAAGCCUUUCCCACAUUCAAAACCUCACUCAAAGCUCUGCAGCCCAUGGAUCAAGGAGUAAUUUCAAUUUUCAAGUCCUAUUAUCUAAGAAAUAUAUUUGUAAGGCUAUAGCUGCCAUAGAUAGUGAUUCCUCUGAUGGAUCUGGGCAAAGCAAAUUGAAGACCUUCUGGAAAGGAUUCAUCAUGCUAGAUGCCAUUAAGACCAUUUGUGAUUCUUGGGGGAGGCUCAAAAUAUCAACAUUAACAAGAGUCUGGAAUAAGUUGAUUCCAGUCCUCAUAGAUGAUGUGGAGGGGCUCAAUGUGACAUGACCACCCAUAUGGCCUGACUCCUACCUUAGUGUCUUCACCACUAGGGAUGCCUACUUUAGUGGUUAAGAGUUCAGGGAUGAAUGAGACAGACUUUGGUUUGAACUCUGGCUCUGUCUUACUAAUUUUGUGAUCGUGGACAAGUUUCCUUAUCUGUGAAACAGGAAUAAGAAUAUCUACAGUAUAAGUUGUCAGGGUUAAAUAAGAAAUUCCCAAGAGCUUAGUGCCAUGCCUAGUACACAGUCUGUAUCCCCAAAUGUUAGUUGCUUGUAGUGGUUAUUAUCAGCAUCAUCUUAGACACUGUCAGAGUGUGGGGCACAAAUUGGGAUGGGAUACCUACCCUGGUCCAGACUCAGGGUGGCACAGGUGGAGCAGCAACAGAUUCCUAAGCUCCAACCACAUACAUCACAACUCCAGUGCCAAGGCUGAGACAGUCAAAAUGCCCACCUUUCCCUCUCUCAACCAUCAGAUCCCCUAAAAUUUGGGGACCUAAUAGUUCACCAGUCCAAGCAUACUUGUGGUAAGAAGUACCUGGACCAUUGUUAAACAUCUUGGAAUUCUUCUUAGAGAAAGAUACAAAAGCUAAGUGUUAUUUUUACCAGGAGACAAAGGAAAUUCUAAAAAAUCAUAAGACUCUAUCCAGAACAAUGAAAACAGACAACAAACACUAGUUUGAAAUAUAUAUAUAUAUUUAUCUCAUAUAUAUAUUUAUCAUAUAUUUAUUUAAUUUAUCAUAUAUAUGUGUGUGUGUGUGUGUCUGUGUGUGUGUGUAUGUGUGUGUGUGUGUGUGUGUGUGUGUGUGUGUGUGUAUCCGAAAUAGCUAACUUCUAACUAUCUUUCCUAAGAUGCCAACCCAUGACAGAGAGCCCUCGAAUCACUAUGCAUAAAGCAAGGAGAUCUUGGCUUGGAUGACUGAUCCUUGCUUAAAACAGAACAGUGACAACUAGAAAAGAAAACCACUCCAAUAUCCCACGAGCUUCUAGGCACUGGCAAAACAGCAGUGUCCCAUCACUUUCACAACCUACCAAGGUCUAAUUUGAGGACACUGCUUAUUCAUAGUUUGUUCUCUUAUUUGUUUUUAAUUGGGUGUAUCAGUCUGUUCUCACACUGCUAUAAAGAACUGCCUGAGACUGGGUAAUUUAUAAAGGAAAGAGGUUUAAUUGACUUACAGUUCUGUAGGGCUGUCUGGGGAGGCCUCAGGAAACUUACAAUCAUGGCAGAAGGCAAACUCCUCACAGGGCAGUAGGAGAGAGAAAUGAGUGCUGAGUAAAGGCGGAAGCCCCUUAUAAAACCAUAAGAUCUCGUGACAACUCACUCACCAUCACGAGAACAACACAGGGAAAACCUCCUCCACGAUUCAAUUAUCUCCACCUGAUCCUGCCCUUGACAUGUGGGGAUAUUACAAUUCAGGGUGAGAUUUGGGUGGGGAUACAGAGCCAAACCAUAUUGUAGGGACAAAUUAUCCUUCAGGUAAUUUGGAUUUCCUAGACUCAACGGCUUAUAGUGAGAACUGACAUCAGUCAUGCUAACUCUAUGGAAGUCCCUGGGAAGUUUCUGGAAUAGGAUACAUUAAUUUCACUGAGGACAAAACAGGGAUCAUAUCCACUUUUUUCUGUAUAGAAAUAUCGGGUUUAAUGUAUGCUGCAUUAAUCAUGCCUACUUUUGUAUUCCCCCACAGAACCAAGCACAGACCCUUAACCAUACUAUGUACUCAAUAAGUAUUUACUAAAUAAAUGUUCCCAAAUAGCAGGCAAGUGUGUCUUUUAUUUUUCAUUAUAAUAACCUCAAGCAAUAAUGCUUUCACGGGAACCAGGAAAACCUGAAAUAGCCUCAAUGUGAAUUCUCUUCUGCCGCCAGAGCAAAUGGGUGAGAGAAGCCUCUGGAUUUAGCUAUCUGAAUUCUAAUUCCAGGUCUACCACCUUGGGCAAGUUACUCACCUCCCAUGCUCCUUUCCUCAUCUGUAAAAUGGGAACAAUCAUAUUAUCUAUACUUCUUACACUUGUUAUGAGAAGUAAUUGAAAUAACAUACAAAGUACAUAAGGAGAGCUUUGAGCCUAUAAUGAGCACUAAGUAAAUAUUAGGUAUUGUAUUAUCUGCUGGCUGAUGAGCCUAGGGUAAGUCACUUAACCAUGCUGUUCUAUAAUUUCCUGAAGUGUAAAACAGAGAGGGGGAACACAGUUCCACGGAUCCUCCUGCUCUAGGAUGGAGAGAAGAGGACUGCUAAGAAGUCCAACACUCCUGACUUAAAUUUGACAGGAGAUCCCUGAUGGUAAAUUUUCUGAUAGCUGGUCCAAGAAUGAAGAAGUAGGCAAAAUGUUAUAGUCUCCUGUUUUCAUCUCUAAUAGAGAUAUAUUAGGACUUUAGUGAUAAAAUCUGAUAAUACCUGGCUAAGAGGAAAAGGCGGGUGAUUUGUAGGGAAAAAUGAGAGGGCAUUGUCAUGCAAAGCAUUCACAAGCAAUACUUGUUCAUUUUUUGCAGGAUGGGUAGAGGGAGGUGCUGUUCUCCAAAGCACAGUUGCUUUUCAUGCCAUUGGUAUAUUGGGUUUCCCAGAAUUUCUCAGUAAACUACAAAUUCAGGACAAUGGAGGAAAGAAAUUUGCUCUACUUUUUAGCAUCUAUCACUAUAAAUGACUCAAUUCUACUCUUUUGUGUAGGAAAAAUACUAAAAUCCAUUUGCAAGUAUCUGGGCUGCUUACUUAAUUUUGAGAGAUACUUGCUUCAUUUUACAAGCUGUUUGCGGGGUUCUGAUUAUCUAUGCUCCAGAUACAUCCCUGGAAGAGAAUAACAUACCUAGAGUAUGGAUGUCAGGAUAAAGACAUUAACAGGUAGCACUUACUGAGCAUUUACUGUGUGUGCAUACACUGCAGGCCCCCAUAUAUAUCCCCUUUUAUCCAUAAUCUCUUGAAUAUAUUACCAUCAAGUUUGACAGAUCAAAGAAACUGAGUAUGGGAGAGGCUCUGUGACAUGUACACUAUCACAGAGCUGGUCGGUGAUGGCACAGAGAUGUGGGCCAAGGUCUAUAUAGGCCACGGUUUAUGCUAUGAACCUUCAACUAUUAAUAACAGAAGAUGAAUCUUCCCAACUUAAGCACAGUGUUUGAAGUUUACAGGACAAUCCUUUGCAGUGUUCCACUGGGAGAGGAAAAUAGACCCAUCUUCAGAAUUGAUGCUGCUUGAUUUAAUCUAGUUAAAAAGCUAUAAUUGGGGAAUCAAAUCCUUUCAUAACAUUCUGCCCAGUGUACUCUCACUGAUUGUGUCAUUCCAAAGAUCUUUUCUAUCAAACAUUUAUCAGUUCUGACAAAAGGGAAAGCAAAAAUCACCCCUCCCCCAUGACCCAGAAAGAGCAAUAUUUUUCUCCUUGGUGCAGAUACCCAAAUACCUAUUUAAUAAUUCUGUCAAAUCCUUAGCCCUACAGAAGGGAGAUACAGGGAUCAAUACUUAUUUCCAGACUCCAGCCUGAACUUUCCUAUUUUAAACAUUUCCGUACCAAUAAUCAUUGCCACAGUGGACUAUGUAGCCAUCCAGAUACUAGGGGUAACAAUUUUGAAUUUUGCUACAGAUUUUGCUAUCUAAUCAGCACAAUUUUUAAAGUCUAAAUUAAUUUAUUUUGGGACAGAAUGACUGGACCCAUGCUAAUUCUCAUGACAGGUCAAAAACAAUUUCCUUUUUGUCUCAGCAUUGCACCAAAAUUGUUAUCCUACUACCAAUACUUAUUGACACUUUUCCUUUUAUUUCUGGAUAGGAACUUAGCUAAUUGACAUUCUCUCAGACUUCUUCAAAUGUUACAGGAGACAAGGGAAAGUUAAAAUACCACUCAGAAAGCCUGACUCAUCCUCACCACACUAGAAAGGGGAAAGUAAGGAAAACUCGUACACCCCAAUCACUCUACUAAUGGUGAAAUAAAAUUUUUAAAAGGAAGCAAAAAGGAUGACAGAAAGUUGUAACUGGAAACUGAACAUGCAAAGUGGAGAGAGGUUGAUGGGCCUCUUUUUCAAAAGAAGUAGGACAGGACUGUGACUCUUUCAUGCCCAUAUCUGGCCCUGGCACCAGGAACACCUGAAAAAGGGUACCUUGGCUACUUCUGAACACUGCUCAGAGGCUCGUAACAGAGGCAGAAGCAAAAUAAAGCCCCAAACCCACAAGCAAUAAUGAUACUGCCUAUGAAAGAGGGUGAGACGUGCAGAAAAUGUUUUAUAAUCAGAAUUCUCUCUAGAGAGAAGGCUUUUUAGAGGCCUUUGGGGAGAUUUCAGAGGAUUCUUAAAUACCAUUUUCAAGCAAAUGUUUACUGAAGUGCAUGCUCUUGUGACAUCCGUCUAUUUCUUCACGGUGUAAUUAGGAGGCAUAAAGAAUAGAAUUGUUGGUUACUUUUCCCAUUCUGCUGUUCCCCUAGUCUCUUUUUGAUCAAAUUCCCAGUAGGAAUUUAGUUCUUCAACAUCAGUGGAAUUUUUGCAGAAUAUCCACUUCUUUUUCUUUCCCAUGGUACUUGUCCACAUUUUAGUGCCCAAGAAUAUGAACUGAAGAGCAAGAGAGACUUAAAGAAAUUUUGUAAACUGUUUUUUCAUAUGAGAUAAGGCACACAAACUUCCCCCUUGAAAACCAUAAACAAGACUUGAAAGCCCCAUGUUUAUUUACAGCCUUCUCAAAACCUAUCACACAAGAGCAGCGACUAUACAUUCUAAUUAGUUCAUCUGUAUUCUGCUCACACAUCGCCAUGCUCAAAGAACUUUAAAAUGUUCAUCAUCAUUUACGAACAAGCCCUGACUCACCAAGAUUUACAAAGUAAUCAGCAGCAAAGUUAAUUGGAAUCUAGAUUUUCUAACACCUACAGAAAAAUCCAUGCAGUUCUGGAGGGGGAAAAAAAUACAGCCAAGGAAGCAAGACUAAAUUUAUGUGCAGCAUUUCUAAACUGGAGAGAAAGGAAGGGAGAAUAAUGUUUAAAACAUUUAAAUGUGUGUGAGCACAGUAUUGUUUCUUUUCCUUUCAUAUUUAGGUUGGAUUAAACAACACAAGGUCAGAAAGAGCCUGGCAGCUUCUACAGAUCCAAGUCAGCAUUUGGGGCUUCUCAUGGGUCAGAAACAUCCUGAGGUGGGAAAGAAUCAGAAUAGUUGUUUUUUUGGUUUGUUUGGUUUGUUUGUUUUUUUGAGACACGGUCUCACUCUGUUGCCCAGGCUGGAGUGCAGUGCUGUAAUCAUGGCUCACGGCAGCCUUGACCUCCUGGACUAAAGUGAUCCUCCUGCCUCAGACUCCAGAGUAGUUGGGACUAUGGGGAAGCGCACCACACCUGGCUGAUGUUUGUAUUUCUGUAGAUCCAGGGUUUCACCAUGUUGCCCAGGCUAUUCUUGAACUCCUAAGCUCAAGUGACCCAUCUACCUUGGUCUCCCAAAGUGCUGGGACUACAGGAACAUGCCACCAUGCCUGACCGAUUUAUUUUUUUUGUAGAGACAGGGUCUCACUAUGUUGCCCAGGCUGGUCUCAAAUUCCUGGGCUCAAGUAAUCCUCCUGCCUCAGCCUCCCAAAGUGCUGGGAUUAUAGGCGUGAGCCAUCAUGCCCAGCCUCAGAAGAGUUUUUAACCAAAGCCCAAAAAAGACAAUAGAGAGGGGAGUACACAAGGAUGAAGCUUAGAGAGAAGCAAGCACAUUUGAGGGAGGGGAAGACUGAGGUUUUCAUUCAUGUCUAUGUACUUCAGAAGCCUAGAUUUUCACCAUUAACAGAGUGCUGCUUUCCACUGUGCCCUUAUGCUUAUAUAAGGUAAAUGACAGUCAGACUUGUGUGGCCCUGAAAGCCUUCUGCAGGAAUUUGAAGUCUUUCAUUGCUGCAGUGAAAGGGCAGGAGAGUCACAGAAUCCCCACUGUGCUUUGACACAUGAGCUUUGACAAAGGCCAGGAGGAAUAGAAAGGAAAAGGUAGAUGUGUGUGUGAGAGAGUGUGGACUUAGAAUCUACAGAACUUUGGAACAACUAGAUGGAGGGGUGAGUGCUGGGAACACUUCCAGGAUGCUGGCUAUAAGAAUUGUGCUGCCAAUAAAGGACAUAAGGUGUUAAGGGAAAUAAGGAAUGCAGAUGGAGGAACGGGUUGUUUGAUUCAUUACACUUUGGACAGUUUGGACAGAAUAAAGUGGAGAAAUUGUCAGGAACACAGGAAAAGAAGUCUAGGUAGUACUUGGAAAUAAGCCCUGGAAAGAGAUCGGGACUAUCAAUAGAGACUUGGGAAUUUUUGGCAUAUGGACUUGGGGUUCCUUAGCAUGUAGACAGUGGUUUAAAAGAAAAGAGCAAGCAGAGUUGUCAAGAGAAAAAUGAUAGACAGAGGUGCACAAGAAUCAAAGACAGAACCAGAAGAAAUAUCUGCGUUGGGUAGGGGUAGGGUGCAUAUAAAGGAAAUGUAGGAGAGCUAGAAGCUGUGGUGUGGCAACAGCCAACAAGAAAGCUAAUUUCAGGUAGUGACUGACCAAUGGUAUCAAACACAUAGGAGGUAGCUGAUGGGGGUUAGUGACCCUGAGAGUAGGUUUAAUCCCAUGAAGCAGUGGAAGUCAGGCUGGUACGAGCUUAAGAUGUGAGAUGAUGAGGGAUGAUGAUGUAAAUGGAGACUAUUUUUGCAACGAGUUGCACCUGAAGAAGAGGAUGAAGAAAACGGGAGUCGGAGGAUGCAGCCAGGUUCAGGAAAGGGGGAUUUAAGAGUAAAAGAGGGCUUAGUAGGUUUGUAGACUGAAGGGUAGCAGCUGAUGGUAAGAUGAGGGGUUGAAAAUGUGAGAGAGAUGGACUAUAAUAGUGGGGCUUGGUUCAGAAGAUUCUUGAAGGAAGUAGGAUCAAGACAGGGAGGAGGCACCCUUCUUCCUUUACAACUUUGGGAAAGAGAACAGGACACAGGUUACAUGGAACAUCUAAGACAGAAGAGGAAAUUGAAGGUGCUCCUGUAAGAUAACUUGAAGCUGGACUUUUGAUUUAUCUUUAUUAUGUUUUAGGGGGCAAAAACAGCAAGGAUAUUUUAUUUAAAAAUCUACAAUUCUUAGAGUACUGUAUUUAAAAGACAACAUAAAUUGCCUUCCACAUAUAUUGUCAUAAUCCCCAGCCCAGCUCUAUCCUGCCAAAUUAAUCUGCCAAACCAGAUAAAAUAUUUUUUUUCAGCCACGAAGACAAUGCUCUUUUGGAUAAUACAAAACCAAACAAAAAUCUGUAGGUGUUUCUCAAAGCUAAAUUUCUGCAUUAGUAAGUCAAACAUUUAUCAUAAUCUCAGAUGGUGAAGACAUGUCUGCUGAGAUUCAAAAUCCAACAGUUUUAACAAAGAAAGAAGCUCUGCUUGCACUGAGAUUAUAUACAGGAACCCUCCUCUUUAUAGCAUCAAUCCAAUCAUUCAUGAGCUAGAAUUAUGCCACAUGCUGAAGGGGUUCAUAGAAAAUGGUCUCUAAAUUUCAAAAAAUUUACUGUACCAAGGUGGAAAUACACAAAUGCAUCUUUCAUAAAUACAAUAUGGUUGACAUCAUCGUAGGAAACUGUACCAUGGGCACAGGAACCCACUCAGAAGCACCUAACAGGGCUUCAGUGAGGUGAUGUGAGCUGGGUCUCCAAGGCUGACUUCAGGUUUGCCUCUUCUCUGAUGAGGGAAGGGCUGGGACGGUAAUGGCAUUGGGAGGUGGAGGAAAUAGAAAUGAGGGACAGGAUAUGAGGCUGGGCAGACUGUGGAAAGGAAUAUGGAUUGUAACAUGCUGGGGAAUAGAACCAACAAAGAUUUUGAACUGGAAAGAAGCAUAAUCAGACAUUACUGCCUAAUUUGUUUUAAACCAUUCAUUUAGCCAGUGGCUUAAACGAUACCCUCCUAUACACCGCCCCUUUUUGGUGAAAUUCCCAUAAGAUCUAAGGCAGGCAUCUCAUUCCUGCCUUUACAACUCUAAGAGACAAACUUUGAAGUUUUUUUUUUCAAUGUUGGUAUCAGUUUUUAUGACUCUUUAGAGAAGAGUGAAAUGGUCCAAGAGUUGUCACCAAAGUGUCAAAGUGACAUAAAAGCACAGCACACACCGUUUAUGGGUGGCUGCUACUUGGGCUGAUGUAUACGGAGCAGCUUUAUUUAAAGCUUUAUGCAAACUGACAUCCAGGCACCGUGAGGGGUCCUUGAGGAACGUGAAACACCAUCAUCACCAGGCUGACACGUGUGGCCACUGUGAUAAGGUAGAUAAUCUGCAACCCUUAAAACCUAGCUGUUGGACAUCAAGUUUCAGAGGAGAUUGAGUUGAGCAUGAGGAUAAGAGAAAAAAAAAAGUGUGUAUUGGUGUCAAAGUCAGCUCUCCAGGAUUCUUAUUCAGAUCCUAACCUCACAAUUAAAGCCCCCACAAAAGCCCACACUGAUUGUAGCCACCUUCACUAGAGUGUAGUUUAGAACCGCCCUUGGCACUUCCAACCCUCCAGAACACCUUCACCCUAUGUGGCUUAGGUAAGGAUUCCUUCCAUGCAGUGUCGGGAGAGGUUUCUGGUAAAUCAAGUUUCCCUCAUCACCUUAAAUUUCUAGUGGUGUUUUAACACCUCACUGAUAAAAAUUGUGCUGGGUCUGCUCACCAGGCCACCUUUAUUAAGAAUUCUCCUCAUCAUUCUAAUUACACACACACACACACACACACACACACAGAGGCAAUAAAGAUUUUUAAAACACACACAUUUUAACAUCUUUGCUUGAUUUAGAUCUAUUUAUUGCAAGAAAAAGCAUCAGUUUAAACUUCCCUGGAUACCUUUUUAAAAAUCAUCUCUUCCAUCGAUUCUUGUAAACUCUAAAUGUAUGAGAGAGUGGAGUUAGGUAUAUUUUUAGUGUGUUUUAUGCACACUAGUACAUGAGGCUCCCUUGUAUAACCCUUUUUACGAAGCUUCAAAGGUAAUUUUACAUUUAUCUUUGCAUUUAUGACAUUGUUGGUCAUGAUGACCACUUGAUGCCUAGUCCUUAUAAAUGGAGGCAACUCCUCCAUCCUGGUAUUGAUGCUAUGGAAAGAUGAGAACCAUUUUACAACGGCCCACAGGAUGAUACAAUUUGCAACAUUAGAACACAAGGAAGGUCUGCAUUUAUUAUGUGUCAAGAUUGUCAAGCAAUCGAUACAGAACUGGUUUUGUAUCCCAAAGAAAUAGAGAUAGAUUCCUGGAAUGGCCAUUAAUGAUAGUUAAAAUAAACAGAAUUCUGUGUCGAAUGGCUGCUUUAAUAGCAGAUAGGCUAUAUAAAGAGCUCUAUUAACCUAGCUGGAUGCUGUAUGCCAAAUACCUUCCCUUAUUCAGGGGAGAUUUCUUGGAAAAAGUAGAUCCUGUGGUGAAUUUUAAAGAACAGCAGUUAUAUGAUUUUAUCUCUUAGAAACCCAGUCUCUUAGUUUCAAAAACACUCCUCAAAUUGCUUGGUUCAAAGGGUAAUUUCCCAGUUUGUUUUUAUCAAGAUUAUGUCUAUACUGAAAGAAGCCACAAGACAGGAGGAAAUGCUCAGGCUUCCAGGAAUUCAAAGUCAGAUGGAUUCAAAUCCCAUCUCAGCUGCUGCUUAAGAUAUGGGGCUUGACUUAAUUCAUCUAAGUCUCAGUUUCCUCCACUGUAGAUGGGGAGGCGUAAUAUAAUGUACUUCCUAGGCAGGGUCCAAGCAAUAGAUGUAAACUGCCCAGUGUCUGGGCACAUCAGGGCACUCAAAAACUUGUAGCUAAUUUAAUAGCAGAGUUAAUGAUCAAAAAGGUAGAACCAGGGACCUUGACACUGGCAGUCAUCUCUGCAUGUUAUGAUAUUUUCUUUUUCUUUCCUUUUUUUUUUUUUUUUUUGAGAUAGAGUUUUGCCCUUGUUGCCCAGGCUGGAAUGCAAUGGGAUGAUAUCAGCUUGCUGCAACCUCUGCCUCCCAGGUUCAAGCAAUUCUCCUACCUCAGCCUCUCAAAUGGCUGGGAUUACAGAUGUGCACCACCAUGCCCAGCUAAUUUUUGUAUUUUUAGUAGAGACAGGGUUUUGCCAUGUUGGUCAGGCUGGUCUUGAACUCCUGACCUCAGGUGAUCCACCCGCCUCGGCCUCCCAAAGUGCUGGGAUUUGGCUAACUUCUUUUUUCAGAUCAUUUUCCAGAUUUCUGCUCUACAUACUACCUUUCAAUGAGGACUCUGCCAACCACUCUAUUUAAAAUUACUGGCCAGGUGUGGUGGCUCACACCUGUAAUCCCAACACCUUCAGAGACUGAGGCAGGCAGACCCCCUGAGCCCAGGAGUUCAAGACCAACCUGGGCAAUACAGUGAAACCCUGUCUCUACAAAAAGUACAAGAAAAAUUAACCAGACACAGUAGCAAAUGCCUGUGGUGCCAGCUACUCAGAAAACAGAUUAGGAGGAUUCACUGAACCUGGGAGGUCGAGGUUGUGAGCUGUGAUCACGCCGCUGCACUGCAGCCUGGGCAACAGAAUGAGACCGUCUCAAAAAUAAAAUAAAAUAAAAUAACACUCUACAGUCUUUCACCUCAGCACUUUACACCCUUGUUUAUAGAACUUGCUUUCUAACCAUAUAAGAAAAAAAAAUUCUUGUUUGUUUUACCAUUAUUAUCUGUUUUCUCAUUAGAAGAUAAGCUCCUCAAGGGCAUUUUGCCUGCUGAUCAAUUUCCAGUACCUGGUGAUUUUCUGAUAUUUGUUGAAUGAAUGAAAGAACUUCACUUAGAUUUGUUUUGCAUUUUGAAUGCUGGAUUAGUCAAAAAGGGGUGAUGCUUCCUCCCAGUACUCACACCCCAGCUUUAGAGUCAGGGCAACACCCAGUACACUGCUAACCAAGUGUCCUUAGAACCAAUGGAAGGCGGUCAACUAGCUCUAACAUAGGCAUACCAUGUAGUUGUGAGUGACAGAAAGCUUUGAUAGGCUUCAGUAUUCACCGCAUGCUCUUUUGCCUAAAAUCCUUCACAUUUAUGCCCAUCAAGUGGCACAGGGGAAAGAUGUUUGAACUUUCCAUGAAAACAGUAGGACACGCUUGCUAAAUCAACACCACCCUGAGUGUGAUGUCAAUCAAGUUCAUAACGUUCAACAGAAACCUGCUUUUUGCAAUUUGUGAACAGUUUUCACAUCCGCUAACUAUUCAUGCCUUGUUCGAGCAGAUGUGUCAACAUCUCAGCAAAACCCCAAAUAUCAAUCAAAUGGCAAUGACUGGAAUUUUAAUCAACUACAGGAGUUCUCAAAAAGAAUGGAGAAGACUCCAUGGCAACAAACAUGUCACAAAGUGGAUAAUGCCUUUUAAUCCUGACUACUGAAUCUUCAACAUCCACCCUACCCUUCUGCAAGUAGAGCACAAAUUCUACAAGACCAAGGACUAUGUUCAUGUCUUGUUCCCUGCACAGUGCUCGACACCUAAUAGGGACAUGAUAAAUAUUUAUGGAAUGAAUGAAUGAACUUAGUUAAUUCAAGACAUACUUCAAAGACCCUUUACAAAACCCAAUUGACACGGUUCAAGGACUAGGCAUGAAAGACAAAAAUUUUUUUUCACAGGAUGGAUGAGACUUGGCAGCAGUAUAUAUGGACAAAAAUCUGAGAAGUUUUAUUUUUCUCAAGCUUAAUGUGAGAAGAGGGCCAACUGUGCAAUUCAUCUGCUAAGUAAGCUAAUGCCAUCUCAGCCUAAAUUAAUAACUAAUAGAAGCAGUGUGUCCAGAGGAUAGGAAAUAAUGGUUCCCCUGCAGUUUUUACUGGUUAGACCACACCUAGAGGAAGGUUGUACAGGUCUGAGUGCACAUUUUAGGAAGAAAUACUGACAAAAUGAAUAGUCCAGAAACAACAUCUCAUAGGUGACAGCAGAAGGAAUUGGGAAGCAUGAGCACAUGCCUGGCAUUGCCAACCAGAGUAAGAGAGGUAUGUGGAGCAGUCCCACAUCCCAUCACCUUGGCCAACCUCAGCAGAGCCACCAAUUCAGCCAUCUCAGAUGCAUGAGCAAUGAACACUUGUUUUACACUCCUGAGGUUUUGUGAUUGUUGCCUAGUUCAAUUGCAAUAAUAGAUAAAUGACAAAAAGAGAAACAGUGGAAGAUCUAUUAAAUACAAGUGGAAGCAAAAUAGUUCCUUUUCCUUAGAAGAAGGGAAUGGAAAAACCGAUUCAAAUGGCUCUCAGGAAGAAAACUUUGGAUUCAGAAAAUUGUAGUUUUAUAAGGAUUGAAGCCAACCAUGAAAAGAACAGGCUUCAGUGAAUUUGAGCUUGGAAACCAACAAAGCUGGCCACCACACCACAGCUUCUCCUGAACCUGACUUGCUCUGGCCUAAUACUACUGAGCUUGAGAAUUCACUUAGGUCAAGGAUAUUAUCUGUUUUGUUUUUACGUCACUAUACAUUGAGAUAACAGUGCAGGAUCUGGUGCAUAGUAGGUAUGCAAUACAUAGUAGGUAAACCAAAAAUGAAUGGAGGAUGCCAAAACUGGCCUCCAGUCCCUGGAUCCAAGAGGGAAGAUGGCUGAAACUGGCUCAAGAAUCUUUCAUCAGAGGUCACCACCAGCGCACCAUGAAGUCUGAUCCACUGACACCAACAUCCCCUUGAAAUCAGGCUCCCUUCCUCCGUUCUUUCAUUGCUAUCAUUCAGAGUUACCACUUUCUUUUAAUCACCAUGAAGAGGGAUCCCACGUCCUUUACCAGGCCAUGAACAAAAGGAAGCAGGCUGGUUUUGGCCUGCAGGGUAUAGUUCCUUGACCUCGGCUUCAUCCAAACACUCUAAUUUCAUCUCGUAUUUGUAUCCUUGGAGUGCCCAAUGCCAGCAAUACAGCCUACCCCUGGAAGAUGCCCAGUAUUGACCAUUUGAAUUUGAUAAAAGAGAUCCAGAACUCAAAGAUCCUUGAUGCUUUUUAUCAAUUCCACUAAACGUCAAGGACAGGAAAUAAAAACAUUUUUCUCUUCCGACUCAAACACAAUACCCCUUUGUGAAGCUGCUAAAAAUCUAGAAAUGGCAAAUCUGGGAAAAUUUUCAGAAACCUGGCCAAGAUGUGAAGACCCAGACUGUGGCGCUAUGUUUGGGACUCAGAGGUCUGACACGGGAGCUGAGACUCAGACCAAAGAAUUAAGAUAGUAACAACAUGUUGUCAAUUAAUCAUGCUCAUAAGGUGGUCAAAAUGACCAUGAGGACACAUUUCAGUCUACCGGACAGUAUGCCAGCUUUCAUUCUUGUGCUCAAAGACAAAGAAGAAAGCUUUAAUUUGGUGCAAUAUGGGCCGAAAGUUUAGUUGUCAUAUAUAUUAAACUCAGCCUACAGUC